ensembl:antisense Gm9917 predicted gene 9917
GAUACUGCCUGAUAUGGGGAGCCUUGGCUCCUGGACAGGAACCUAACUCCUGGCUUUUUACAGGGAUGACAGUUGGUCUACAGAACCGCAAAUCUAUGUUGAACAGGCUAAGACUUGACCAGUUCCAGCUUUGAGCAACUUGAAGGCCAACUGCCCUGAGUUGAUAAACUCCUGCUUCCCAAUUGGUUUUUUUUUUUGUUUGUUUGUUUUGCUUUUGCUUUUUAAAAACGUCUUGAGUUUAUUAUGGCCAAAGGCUAGGCGAGCAGAGAACCUGCUCAUAGCCGACCUUGAGAAACGUAGGCAGAAUGUCCAUUGGCGGCAGAGAGCUGAGGAGGUGUUGGGCCGAGCCCUACAAUAGAGGCUGCAGCAGAAGCCUGUGCUCUCCUUUCUGAUGGCUGCCUUGGGAAGUCAGACACUAUUCUCGGAGGUCCAACUUCACAGUGAGGAAGGCAAGACACCUAAACAGAAGGUCAUCUUCCCUUAGAUUUCUUCUAAGGCUUAGAAGAACAGAAGGGACAUAAAUGCCUUUAAUUUGCAGGCUGAGUUGGAUGAAAGGGAGGUUUUAAGACUCUU